AGUCCAUAAAUUUUUUAUAUAGGUAAGUAAAUGAUAUACCCGUGAAAAUCCUGCAAAGAUUUAUAAGUUUCCUCACCUAAAGGAGAGUUGAGCUGAGCGAAUGAACAUCAUAUAGAGGUUCUGAUCGCUGUGGGGGUUAAGAUGAUAUCUCACUAGGCUGUACCUUCUCAUUGUUUAAACAAAGAGGAUGCCAAAUGGAGUAAUAUUAAGAAAGAGUGAUAUCAGUAUUGCACAACGUUAUUAAGAAAUAUUACGUAUGUCAUUGAAGCAACUAUUCUGUGCAUGGCCAUGGAGUCUAGCUUAUGGUUCUCAUAAACAAAAUAUAUAUAUUUGUAUCAGGGGGUUAUGUUAAUGACAUACUUUAUGACAUGCUUUUUGGGCCGCUGGAUUUUUAUCUAGUGAUCGGCUGUCAUAUUUUCUCAACUAAGAAAAAGUUGGACUAUCAUUUUGCAAUGAAACUUCGGCAAAAUCAGAAUUUUCAUUUAUACUUAUUAUCCAUAGACAUUGUAGUGUUUCCGAUGAACGAUGAUGGAAAGAAGCAUAUUACAUGUAGUGUAGGCAUAGUGGUAAGGGAAGCACUUGGUGAACUUAAGGUCUCAAGUUCCAUCCCCGCUUGACACAAAACACAAUUCUUUUAAGGUACCCGUUACCAAUGAAGCCUAGACCCACAUGUGAAGCUCUAAAGACACGGGUUCAAUCCCUUGGUGUGCCCGGAUCAUGUGGAGAUUAAGAUGGAGGUAUAGUACCGGUAUCAUAUGGUUCAUACAGGGUGAUUCGAUGGGUAUCCAAUUGUGGUACCGGGGCUAAGGUUCCCCCCAUUAUCCUUUUUCAUAUCACAUGAAGUGUUGAUGCCGGUAAACCAUGUCGUUACAGCAUUUGAAUAUAUUGUCUUUCUUUAUGCAAGAAUAUUAGUUAUUCAGAUCUAUGUAUUUUUGUUAUUUGCAUUAAAACCCAAAAGGCCUGCUGAUUGAUUACACAGUUCUCCUUGUGUUUGUGUAAUUUUUAAUAGAUUUGACCAAUUUCAUGUACUAUUCUGAUAUAUAAUCUGAUUUUGAGUUACAGAGGCAGGGAGGAAAUCCCAGCGUUUUGUGCUUUCUUGAGUUUGCAGAUGCCAAUUGUGCUUUAACUGCUAUGGAAGCCCUUCAAGGUUCAUUUAUCUUCAACAUCUUGAUUGUGAAAGUGAUUAUCGAUGCACUACACAGGGACACUUGGAAGUUGGAACUCGAAAAUUAUGCUAAAGUUUGACUAGAAAAAAACAUCUUGGCAAAAAAAAGCAACAUAUCACCCUAUAUGAGACUCUGGAAAAGAAGUCAAAGAACUAGAGCUGAUAGUUUGACCCAUUUACGUAUGAAUGGGUCGAUGCGGUUACAAGUUUGAUAUGAAGAAACCUGAUUCACAUGCAUUGAAGUUACACUAUGCUCAUUUUCCAUUUCACUUCCCAUCUGAUGGCAAUAGGCAACAUCAAACUGUUUCAAGUUAAUUGCACUUGCAGUUGGAUACGAGCUUUAAGGUAAAUCCAAUUUCUAAUACAUUAGUCUGUUGUAAUAGGCAGUGAAUGCAAUAGGGACAGCUUACAAAUUGGCUGUUAACAACUCUGAUGUGUAAUAGAUUUCUAGUUAGCCAAUAGCCACAGUGUCUGGUCAAUAUUUUAGGUUCUUUUAGAAUGGUCUCUUCUUUCAAAGGAUUUUUUUUACAUGUGAUGUAUUUGAAGCGGUUUCAGCUGAGCAUGCACUACUGUAACCAUGAUCGUGUAUUGAAAUAACUAAAACAGUUUCAGUAA